CUCCUUGGGAUUCAGCACCCCAAGGUCAGCCUGACCCUAGAGGAAAAAUGAGCAAGGGACAAGCACUUCUAAGGACACAGGAGACAGGCUGCGCCCAUGACCACAAAGAUAAAUGGGCAUUGGGACAACCAUGUGAAGGACCAAGUUGCAACAUGAAGUCACGAAAUACCACAUGAACUGAAUCUUCAAGAACCCACUGGAUAUGGAUCACCCUGAUUCAACAACACAGUUAAUCAUAUCCUCAGGUCUACAGCAAAAGUAGUGGUUCUUAACCUGGGCUGCACAAAAGAAUCACCGGAGGAAGUUUUUGGGUUUUGUUUUUGUGCUUUAUAAUACCACUGUCUGGGCCCCAACAUCACAGAUUUGGAUUAAUUAGUAUAAGGUGGGGCCAGGCAUUCAGAUUUUAUAAAGCUCCCUAGGUGAUUCAAUGUGAGCCAGAGUGGAGCACCACUAUAUUAGCUGUAUACAAUGGAUUCAGGAAUUUUACCCCCCAACCCUUUAGGGCCACCAGAACUGCCAUCAUGUCUUUAUAUCCUAUGAAAACUUGUGCAAGUUACUGAUCCCUGAGAGUUAGUUUCCACAUCUCUAAAAUGGAGAUCAGAACACCUUUGAAGCAUGUGCUUUAGCACAGGGCCCAGAUCACCAUAUUUUCUAA